rnacentral:rRNA from 1 species
UACGAAGGGGGCUAGCGUUGUUCGGAAUUACUGGGCGUAAAGCGCGCGCAGGCGGCUUUUCAAGUCAGGGGUGAAAGCCCGGAGCUCAACUCCGGAACUGCCUCUGAGACUGUGAAGCUUGAGUACGGGAGAGGUGAGUGGAAUUCCGAGUGUAGAGGUGAAAUUCGUAGAUAUUCGGAAGAACACCGGUGGCGAAGGCGGCUCACUGGCCCGUUACUGACGCUCAGGCGCGACAGCGUGGGGAGCAAACAGG